GAUGAAGAACGUAGCGAAAUGCGAUAAGUAAUGUGAAUUGCAGAAUUCAGUGAAUCAUCGAAUCUUUGAACGCACAUUGCGCCCGCCAGUAUUCUGGCGGGCAUGCCUGUUCGAGCGUCAUUUCAACCCUCAGGGCCCUUUUGGACCUGGCGUUGGGGCUCGGCCGCUACCCUGCGGCCGUCCCCGAAAGAUAGUGGCGGUCUCGCUGUAGCCUCCUCUGCGUAGUAGUUACAUCUCGCACUGGAACGCGGCGCGGCCAUGCCGUUAAACACCCCACUUCUCAAGGUUGACCUCGGAUCAGGUAGGAAUACCCGCUGAACUUAAGCAUAUCAAUAAGUGGAGGA
rnacentral:misc_RNA from 1 species